UGAGGAAUAUUGGUCAAUGGACGCAAGUCUGAACCAGCCAAGUAGCGUGCAGGAUGACGGCCCUAUGGGUUGUAAACUGCUUUUAUAUGGGGAUAAAGUGGGGAACGUGUUCCCUUUUGCAGGGUCCAUAUGAAUAAGGACCGGCUCAUUCCGUGCCAGCAGCCGCGGUAAUACGGAAGGUUCGGGCGUUAUCCGGAUUUAUUGGGUUUAAAGGGAGCGUAGGCCGUUUGGUAAGCGUGUUGUGAAAUGUAGGAGCUCAACUUCUAGAUUGCAGCGCGAACUGUCAGACUUGAGUGCGCACAACGUAGGCGGAAUUCAUGGUGUAGCGGUGAAAUGCUUAGAUAUCAUGAAGAACUCCGAUUGCGAAGGCAGCUUACGGGAGCGCAACUGACGCUGAAGCUCGAAGGUGCGGGUAUCGAACAGG
rnacentral:rRNA from 1 species